rnacentral:rRNA from 1 species
UACAGAGGUCUCAAGCGUUGUUCGGAUUCAUUGGGCGUAAAGGGUGCGUAGGUGGCGGGGUAAGUCAGGUGUGAAAUUUCGGAGCUCAACUCCGAAACUGCAUUUGAUACUGCCUUGCUUGAGGACUGGAGAGGAGACUGGAAUUCACGGUGUAGCAGUGAAAUGCGUAGAUAUCGGGAGGAACACCAGUGGCGAAGGCGACUACCUGGCCUGUUCUUGACGCUGAGGAGCGAAAGCGUGGGGAGCGAACAGG